AGAGAACAUGUACGUGUUGAACCCUCAAAUAUGACGGAGAAAACGACUCCAACAUGUUAGCAGUUUUCUCUGAAUAAUUCCCAUGAUCUGAUGUGUGAUUUUAGUGGGAAGUUCAACAAUAACUACCCACAUAUCAUCAAUAUACGGUUGGAUGAUCGAAAGGGAAUAAUUUUUGUCUUUUUGAGUUCAGUGUGUGGUUUCAAUUUAUUCCAACAUAAAGAGUUCGACAAAAUCAACAAUAAAGAUUGGUGAAGAUCUGAUAUUUCGGAAAAAAUUCUUCUCCGAAAAUCAAAUAAACCAUCAGUUGAGUAUUUAUCUGAUAGUUUGUUAACCCACAUCAAAUCCCAAAAAGCAAAGCGUAGGAGGGGACAGAGCCCCUUUUAAACCCCGCCAUUUUCAACAAGGGAGUCUGAAUGUCUGUUGUGGCUACAGGAAUCAAAAACGAGUGAAAGGUAAAAGCUUUUCUCUCCCAAGCAUUCAUCACCAGCAAUUACAGCUAGAGCCAGGUACAGAGUUUAGGGUAUAUCUCUCCUCUUGCUUUCUUUCUACGAUUUUUCUGUCCAAAUUUCUCUGAGAAAGUUAGGGUUUUGGUUUCCGUUCUUGGAUUAGAUUUGUAGAUAUUCUUAUGGAUCUCACUUUUCUUUUCUUUAAUAGAAGCAUAAUCUUGCUCUUGGUAUUUUAACUUUGCUUUCUUUGCAUCAAGAUUGUAUCUUUCUUGGUUUUCUAUAUAACCCAUGUAUUCCGUAUAUAUUUACUUUUAGAAUUCUUUGGUGUUGCUAUUUUUAUGUUUGGUGUCAGAAGUUUAGGUUUCAUCUACUAGAAACUUGCAUUACUGGGUUAUAAUCGUAAAGGUUCUAUCAGACUAGUUACCGUAUGUUACAUUGUCCAGUUCAAGCCUUUCUUUGAAAAUAUUUUAGGGUUCUUUGUUAAAAAAUAGCAAUGUGAAACUAGGAAGCGCAUUUUUGUUGCUUAGUUAUAAGAUACUUGAGAAGCCCAAUAUUACACUAAUCAAAGAACCAAAAAGGAUGUGGAGGUUUUGAUUUCUUGGAGAAAAACGAGGACUAAACCUGGGAAGAUGCUUAAAGCUCAAUAAAGAGACCUCCGGAAAUUUAUACAUAAUAGUCGACUCUAAAUCAAAAUGUAAGGGAAACUCAACUUUGUCCAGUUAAUGGUAGUUUGGCAUAGUUUUCUUAUGAGAUUUUUGGGGUGGUCUUUGUGUUAGAUGACGUCCGCAUGCUCAGUGCAUCACCGAAACUUGUGGAGUUUGACUUGGUUCAAACUCCUAUCCUUUCAGCUGUUCCUAGUUUAUAGGAAUGUUUGGUUAUUUGAUUUUCUGUUGUAAUCUGAACCUGUGGUUGUAAUCCUUUCCUUGGUUUCUGAUUGUAUUUUUGAAUUUCGAAAGUUCCUUGUAUCUAGGGUUUUCAAACCCAAUCUGU